GAGGGUUGAGCUCAGUGGUGAAAGUGCCUGCCUGGCAAGCACAAGGUUGUGAGUUCAAUCCCCCCUACCCCCA
rfam:Cavia porcellus supercont2_29 genomic scaffold, whole genome shotgun sequence.